rnacentral:lncRNA from 1 species
UCCUUGCCUUGUGCUAAUAACUCUUUGUUAAGCCCUAUCCUCUGUAACCGUUGGACAUGCUCACAGGCACGUUCCAGCCCACAGUCUACGCCCCUUCCUUAUUUGGAAAUGUUAUUGCUUCCUUAAACCUUUUGUAAGCAACUUCUUUGUUCUUCCCUGCACUUACCUAUUUAGGAAAGUUUUAGGCUAUUAGCAAAUCGGGUAUCAGUUUAAGAUUGUGAGGUCCCGCUCCAGCCAGUGGAUGCAGGACACAGCAGUAAGGACGACCCAAGUGCGUAAGGGAUAAAUAUGUCUGCUUUUCCUGUGUUCAAGUGUGCUCUCACCUUUGUUCCAUCUGCAACUGAGCACCCUUUCUACAGAAAGAAAAGAUGGCCUUGCUGAGAUACCUUUUGUCUCUGUGCUGACUUUUCUUCGCAGCACCGAUUAUCUAUUUCUAACAAUUUUGGUAUUUCUAACACAUAUUGAGGCUAUCAUCCUUAAGUCCUUGCUGCCACUGACCAUCUUUUAAACCUAUGGCGUCGUGGCCCAGAAUCUUAUCUACGCUCAGCUUGUCUUCACCAUGUACAGGUGAGCCUCCUGUACACCACCCAUGCCCACCCCAAAGACCAGCUGAUGAUGCUCACUCCACAAAUAACUGCUUUGACCUUCUGCAAGCUGGAAGGAAGCUGUCAGCUCAGGCAGGAAAUACAGAGGAUCCCACUUCCUCUGCCCAGAUUUCUGCCGCAUCUCUGGUAUACAUCACAGCCCUGGCUGAUGCAUACGCUAUGGUGAGCCUCAUGUUUCCCAGGACUCCCUAGUGACCUUGGCCAGUGACUACCUCAGAAGGGGUUCAUGGAAGCCGAAGCCAGAACAUCACUAUGUCUACACACCUUCAGAUCCUCUGCAACACAGUGUCAGAGACACCGUCAUGGCCUCAACAAAUUUGUCAAAGCUACGACACAAACCAUGCAUAUCUAUCCUCAGAGAGAGAGAGACAAGAGAGACAGAUGAAGAAAACUUAUAGGUUAUGUUUGAAUGCCUAAAGGAAAAGAAAAACUCAGAUGUAUUCAGGUGUACUUACAAUGAACAAUUCU